AACAGAAUGUCGUUAAAAUACGCACUUAGCGUUCAGCUCUUUAUCCUUUCAAUGGCGGGCAAACUCAAAAGCGACGAAAUGAAAGAUAUAUUAUUGCGUUUAAACACCAUGAACAACUUAAGCGAUUCCGCGGUCGCCACACUUGUGCAGAGCCAGAAGGAGUUGAGCAAAGCACUCGAGACGCAAACAUAUCUCAAUAAGAGUCUGAUGCCCCUAUACACAGCACUUGUACCACAAGAAGAUCACGUAUUACAACCGUGUCCACAAAGCGGAGAUUUAUAAAUCCAUAUGUUUUAUGGAAAAUAUUUUGUUUGGUCAGCUGUUGGCGUGACAACUUUAGCUCGGUACAGUUGUGAAGAUGCUGCGCGGGUUCUGUGAGAUAUCAAUGCUUACUGUGUGAUCAGAACUCCGUGAUGUUGAAUAUAACCUAAAUAAAUUCGGUUAGUUCCCCUCGGUAA